UACGGAGGGGGCUAGCGUUGUUCGGAAUUACUGGGCGUAAAGCGCACGUAGGCGGCUUUGUAAGUUAGAGGUGAAAGCCCGGGGCUCAACUCCGGAAUUGCCUUUAAGACUGCAUCGCUAGAGUUUUGGAGAGGUAAGUGGAAUUCCGAGUGUAGAGGUGAAAUUCGUAGAUAUUCGGAAGAACACCAGUGGCGAAGGCGACUUACUGGACACAUAUUGACGCUGAGGUGCGAAAGCGUGGGGAGCAAACAGG
rnacentral:rRNA from 1 species